GGCGAACGCUGGCGGCGUGCUUAACACAUGCAAGUCGAACGGAAAGGCCCUGCUUUUGUGGGGUGCUCGAGUGGCGAACGGGUGAGUAACACGUGAGUAACCUGCCCUUGACUUUGGGAUAACUUCAGGAAACUGGGGCUAAUACCGGAUAGGAGCUCCUGCUGCAUGGUGGGGGUUGGAAAGUUUCGGCGGUUGGGGAUGGACUCGCGGCUUAUCAGCUUGUUGGUGGGGUAGUGGCUUACCAAGGCUUUGACGGGUAGCCGGCCUGAGAGGGUGACCGGCCACAUUGGGACUGAGAUACGGCCCAGACUCCUACGGGAGGCAGCAGUGGGGAAUAUUGCACAAUGGGCGGAAGCCUGAUGCAGCAACGCAGCGUGCGGGAUGACGGCCUUCGGGUUGUAAACCGCUUUCGCCUGUGACGAAGCGUGAGUGACGGUAAUGGGUAAAGAAGCACCGGCUAACUACGUG
rnacentral:rRNA from 1 species